UGCUGCCGAAAAGAGUGAAAUAGUUCAAUGCCUUGGACGAGGUAUGAAAACAUUAGAUAUUUCAUGAAAACUUAAGCGUGAUCAUCACACUAUUAAGAGAUUUGUGGCUGAGUCAGAGCACAGACGGGUUCGUGUGGAUAAAGGCACAUUGAGGAAGAUUUCUGCGAGAUUCCAUGCAUCGGACCAAGAGAGCGGCUGCUAAAAUACCAUUACAUAGCAGCAAACAGAUAUUUGAAGCUGCU